rnacentral:rRNA from 1 species
AUUGAACGCUGGCGGCAGGCCUAACACAUGCAAGUCGAGCGGAUGAACGAGGCUUUUUCCUGGAUUCAGCGGCGGACGGGUGAGUAAUGCCUAGGAAUCUGACUUACAUAGGGGGAUAACGUACGUAAAGGGGAGCUAAUCCAGCAUACGUCCAGAGGUAGAAACUGGGGGAUCUUUGGAGCUCACGCUAUCAGAUGUGACUAGGACGGAUUAGCGAGUUGGUGAGGUAACGGCCUACCAAGGCGACGAUCCGUAACUGCCCUGAGAGGAUGAUCAGACACACUGGAACUGAGACACGGUCCAGACUCCUACGGGAGGCAGCAGUGGGGAAUCUUGCACAAUGGGCGAAAGCCUGAUCCAGCCACGCCGCGUGUGUGAAGAAGGUCUUCGGAUUGUAAAGCACUUUAAGUUGGGAAGAACAGAAGUAAGAGAAUCUAUUCCUGUUUUGACGGUACCAAAAGAAAAAGCACCGGCUAACUUCGUG